GCUUUUUUUUUAGCCCUAACAAGGCACUAGUGAGUGAAGUGAUCUCCGUGCUUUGCCUGCUUUUCUUAUUGCUGUUCCCUCUCAGCUGUGCUUCAGAAGCUUCAGAAGCAGGGGAUAAGAAGCACGGGCGUGCACACUCAAAACCAGGAGACUAAUGUGCUGAAGCUGACCAGACGCUAGACAGAUGAAUACCUGAUCUACCUACAUUAUUCAUUGUCAUGCUUCCUGCAAAGCAAAGGAAAUCAACUAGAACAACAUGGUUGACCUCUGUUCCCUGGACCAGCAUUUAAGAUGAGGAGAGGAGGAGCCAUAUAAGGAUCCUUUUCUUUUCAGAAGGUGACAGAUUGAGUUCCUCAGCCAGCAAAGCAGGAAGUCAAAGCAAGCUUCUUCUUUUUUUUGCUUCAGUAGCUGAAGAAAGCAAAGCGUUGCCAGCCCGAAAGAGCAGUAAUUAUAGGCUCCAAUCCUGCUGGCCUUUGUGGAAAUUGACUGUUUCUCCUGGAUUUCGGCUUAGAUAUGGAACUCCAAUGCCCAUCCAUCUGUAGAGUCAAGCACGCAGAUCAGAUGGGGAGGUUUCAGAGAGGCUGAUACAGUAGCAGCUGUCCCAACUGAUUCCUAGAGCCAGGAACUUGAGCAGUGAUCCCAACAACCACCAGAGCCUUCAGGACACUGAUUCAUCGUUGGUAUAAUGGCAUGAUAGCAAAUGUAGCAAAACUCAGAUUGCCAAAAACUGUUCUCCUGAUGUUCAGUCUUUUGAAGAAGAAAUGGAUUCCAAAGGAUUCAGUUGAGGGUUGAUUCCAGCUCUUUCCCCACCCAUUUCUUAUAACUCUCUAGCACACUGGUAUCUACUUGUGAUUUUGCUAUCUCUUUGUUUUGAUCCUAUCUAGAAAGUUUCAUAAUGAUUUGUCAGAAUGUAAAGCUGGCUCCAAAAUAAAGAUUGCAAUUGGAGGAAUCCAGGUUAGAAUCAGGGUUAGAAUGUAAUUUCUAGAUGACUUAGGGGUGCCGUUGCAAGUCUCCCUCUAAGACAAAGGCAUAUUAAAAAAUGCAUAAUAUUCAUAUGCAAAUAAUAAAAACAAUAUGCAAACUGAUUUCCAACUACCCAACAGUUCUGUAAGUGAACUCCAGAUGGCAUCAGAUGAUUGUCCAUGCUCUGCUCUAAACAGGCUGCAUCUCAAUUUUUUUUUUAUUUCAUUUUGUCCCAACAGUAUACACAAACAUCAACAUAAGA